UACCGGAUACUCCAUAUUUGUCGCAUGGGCGAAUAUGGGGAAAAGCUCCGGGCGGGCAAAAGGGGAUGGGGCCCCGCGGGCCUGGUUAGCUAGUUGGUGGGGUAGUGGCCUACCAAGGCAAUGAUGGGUAGCCGGGUUGAGAGACCGACCGGUCAGAUUGGGACUGAGACACGGCCCAGACUCCUACGGGAGGCAGCAGUGGGGAAUCUUGCACAAUGGGCGAAAGCCUGAUGCAGCGACGCCGCGUGCGGGAUGAAGGCCUUCGGGUUGUAAACCGCUUUCAGCAGGGGACGAGGCCGCAAGGUGACGGUACCUGCAGAAGAAAGCCCCGGCUAACUACGUGCCAGCAGCCGCGGUAAAU
rnacentral:rRNA from 1 species